UCCGUAUAAUUUCUGCGCUGAAAGGCUCACGGAUGUGGUAACAUCAGUAUAUAAGCAAUGCUUGCGUGGUCGACACGCACGGUACCCUCUGUACAAAAGGCCCCGAAUUAACAACUACAGACAUGCGGUACCUGGUUUUUGUCCUGGUGUUAUUUACAGCUGCCACCUAUUUUUGUACUGCGAGAACGUAUUGGAGAAUUCCCUGUGAGACGAGACCGUGUCCACCUGGCUACCGAUGCCGGUACAUUCGCUGCUUCACGUAUCCCUGCCCUCAGAGCUACUGCGAAAGGAUAAAAUUCUACUGGGACUAUGGGACGCAAUGGCCCAAUUUGAACUAAGGAGCAAAUAAAAUCAGAUAUUUCCAAUAUCU